rnacentral:rRNA from 1 species
AGAGUUUGAUCCUGGCUCAGGACGAACGCUGGCGGCGUGCCUAACACAUGCAAGUCGAGCGAUGAAGUUUCCUUCGGGAAAUGGAUUAGCGGCGGACGGGUGAGUAACACGUGGGUAACCUGCCUUAUAGUGGGGGAUAGCCUUCCGAAAGGAAGAUUAAUACCGCAUAAGAUUGUAGUAUCGCAUGAUAUAGCAAUUAAAGGAGCAAUCCGCUAUAAGAUGGACCCGCGUCGCAUUAGCUAGUUGGUGAGGUAAUGGCUCACCAAGGCGACGAUGCGUAGCCGACCUGAGAGGGUGAUCGGCCACAUUGGGACUGAGACACGGCCCAGACUCCUACGGGAGGCAGCAGUGGGGAAUAUUGCACAAUGGGCGAAAGCCUGAUGCAGCAACGCCGCGUGAGUGAUGACGGCCUUCGGGUUGUAAAACUCUGUCUUCAGGGACGAUAAUGACGGUACCUGAGGAGGAAGCCACGGCUAACUACGU